GACGAACGCUGGCGGCGUGCCUAACACAUGCAAGUCGAACGGGGUAAUCCUUCGGGAUUACUUAGUGGCGAACGGGUGAGUAACGCGUGAGAAACCUGCCUCUCAGUGGGGGACAACAGUUGGAAACGACUGCUAAUACCGCAUAACACUUUAGUACCGCAUGGUACAGAAGUCAAAGCUUUAUGUGCUGAGAGAUGGUCUCGCGUCUGAUUAGCUAGUUGGCGGGGUAACGGCCCACCGAGGCGACGAUCAGUAGCCGGUCUGAGAGGAUGAACGGCCACAUUGGGACUGAGAUACGGCCCAGACUCCUACGGGAGGCAGCAGUGGGGAAUAUUGCACAAUGGGGGAAACCCUGAUGCAGCAAUGCCGCGUGAGUGAUGACGGUCUUCGGAUUGUAAAGCUCUGUCUUCAGGGACGAUAAUGACGGUACCUGAGGAGGAAGCCACGGCUAACUACGUG
rnacentral:rRNA from 1 species